GACGAACGCUGGCGGCGUGCUUAACACAUGCAAGUCGAGCGGUAAGGCCCUUUCGGGGGUACACGAGCGGCGAACGGGUAGAGUAACACGUGGGUGACCUGCCCUCAGCUCUGGGAGUAAGCCUGGGAAACUGGGUCGUAAUACUGGAUAUGACUCCACGGUGCACGUCGUGGGGUGGAAAGCCUUGUGCGGCUGAGGAUGGGCCCGCGGCCCAUCAGCUUGUUGGUGGGGUGA
rnacentral:rRNA from 1 species